rnacentral:rRNA from 1 species
CCUACGGGAGGCAGCAGUGGGGAAUAUUGCACAAUGGGCGAAAGCCUGAUGCAGCAACGCCGCGUGAGCGAUGAAGGCCUUCGGGUCGUAAAGCUCUGUCCUCAAGGAAGAUAAUGACGGUACUUGAGGAGGAAGCCCCGACUAACUAAGUGCCGGCAGCCGCGGUAAUCCGCAGGGGGCUGGCGUUAUCCGGAAUUACUGGGCGUAAAGGGUGCGUAGGUGGUUUCUUAAGUCAGAGGUGAAAGGCGACGGCUCAACCGUAGUAAGCCUGUGAAACUGGGGAACUUGAGUGCAGGAGAGGAGAGUGGAAGUCGUAGUGUAGCGGUGAAAUGCGUAGAUAUUACGAGGAACACCAGUUGCGAAGGCGGCUCACUAAACUGUCACUGACACUGAGGCACGAAAGCGUGGGGAGCAAACAGGAUUAGAUACCCCUGUAGUC